rnacentral:rRNA from 1 species
UACGAAGGGUGCAAACGUUGCUCGGAAUUAUUGGGCGUAAAGCGCACGUAGGCGGCUUGGCAAGUCGGAUGUGAAAUCCCUCGGCUCAACCAAGGAAGUACAUCCGAAACUGCUGAGCUUGAGUACUUAAGAGGAUCGCGGAAUUCCCGGUGUAGAGGUGAAAUUCGUAGAUAUCGGGAGGAACACCAGUGGCGAAGGCGGCUACCUGGACCGGUUCUGACGCUGAUGCGCGAAAGCGUGGGUAGCAAACAGG